UACGUAGGGCGCAAGCGUUGUCCGGAAUUAUUGGGCGUAAAGAGCUCGUAGGUGGUCUGUUGCGUCCGCUGUGAAAACCCAGGGCUUAACCCUGGGCUGGCAGUGGAUACGGGCAGACUAGAGGUAGGUAGGGGAGAAUGGAAUUCCCAGUGUAGAGGUGAAAUUCGUAGAUAUUGGGAAGAACACCGGUGGCGAAGGCGGCGACCUGGUCCGACACUGACGCUGAGGCGCGAAAGCGUGGGGAGCAAACAGG
rnacentral:rRNA from 1 species